AAUGAACGUUGGCGGCGUGGAUUAGGCAUGCAAGUCGUACGGGUCGGUGUAGCAAUACAACGGCAAGUGGCGAAAGGGAGAGUAACACGUAGAUACCUACCCUCUGGUCGGGGAUACCGCGGCAUAACCGCAAGUAAUACCCGAUAAAAUCUCCGGAUCAAAGGUGUGAUUCCGCCGGAGGAGGGGUCUGCGUUCUAUCAGCUUGUUGGUGAGGUAAUGGCUCACCAAGGCUAAGACGGAUACGGGGUGUGAGAGCAUGCCCCCGCUCACUGGGACUGAGACACUGCCCAGACACCUACGGGUGGCUGCAGUCGAGAAUCUUCGGCAAUGGGCGCAAGCCUGACCGAGCGACGCCGCGUGUGGGAUGAAGGCCUUUGGGUUGUAAACCACUGUCAGGGGGGAUGAAACCGCAAGGUUGACAGAGCCCCAGAGGAAGCACGGGCUAAGUUCGUGCCAGCAGCCGCGGUAAGAC
rnacentral:rRNA from 1 species